rnacentral:rRNA from 1 species
AAUGAGUACAAUUAAUACCUUAACAAGUAACAAUUAGAGGGCAAGUCUGGUGCCAGCAGCCGCGGUAAUUCCAGCUCUAAUAGCGUAUAUUAAUAUUGUUGCAGUUAAAAAGCUCGUAGUUGAAAUUUGGGACUUUAUUGUAUUGGUUUGUCUUUUGAUGAACUGUAUAAUGGGUUUCUUCCUACUAGGAUUCGAUUCUGUCCUUAACUGGAUGGAGUAGUCAUCUCUCGGGGUGAUCAAUUUGUUGUUAUAUCUCCACUAAUGAGCAGAGAGGGGUAAAACUCUCAAAGUAAGUUUUGUGGAUCAAGGUAUGAUGAUGAAUUGGAGUUCUAGUUCAUUUACUUUGAGAAAAUUAGAGUGUUUAAAGCAGCCUCUUGGGGCACUGAAUACAUUAGCAUGGGAUAAUAAAAUAGGAUCUUUACAAUAUAUUUUAUUGGUUUAAAUUGAAAUAAAGAUAAUGAUUAAUAGGGACAGUUGGG